CGCGGGGUGGAGCAGUCUGGUAGCUCGUCGGGCUCAUAACCCGAAGGUCGCAGGUUCAAAUCCUGCCUCCGCAACCA
rnacentral:tRNA from 1 species